CUGAUUUUUUUAUGAAUAAAUAAAUUCAUCCUUCAAAUUGUCAAAUAAUUCCUUAAUUCUGCUAAUUUAUAAAUAUGGCUUGAAAUUGUAGCGCAUUUGUCAAGGAUAUGUAAAAUGAAUAUAGUCUUUUAGGCAUCAUUUCACGUCUAAACAUAUCACCAGAAACUUAUGGCAACUUGUGCUGUCUGCAUGUUAAAUAUAACUCGAGCAGCUAUAUGGGAAAUGAGAGGCAUUGAAGUUUUUUUUGCAUGGGAUCUAUGACAGACCACCUUAAGCUUGUUCAUUGUAUAAUACUAUAACUCACUUCUUUGUAGCGGUGAGAAUAAAUUGGACCGAAUUGCCAAUACUACCUUGCUUCAAAUGCAACUUUCCUUGAAACUCUUAAGUUAAGUCUCGAAUUCAAAUGUUGUGGUGGAAAAAACGUGGCUGAAUGAAAAUACUUUUAUUAAAGACAGCAACCAAAUUUUCAGUGGAGAUUAGUCAUAGAAAAAGUUGAGGAAUACUUCACACCAACACCAACAUAGUUAUACUAAGAUAAGAACUUUAUCUAUAUUUUAUGUACAAUGGUCAAUGUGUGGGACAAUUAUACAGGCAUUUAUUAGGUUGAUAGCCAGAAUGUUUUAAACAAAAUUGAAGAUAUAUCGAUUAUCGAGAUAAUUUGAGAUA